GGUUUCAAUUUUAUUUUACCCUGAGCUGAGGUUCUUAAGCUCAGCUUUGAACAGACGUUCAGGUCCUCCAUGUAUGCUGGGAAAUUACUGUGACCUCCUUUAAUCUUGGGAAGAUAUGUACUGGUGUGGUAGUCUCUUAUAAAUUUAAACAGCUUAUACUUUCUUGAUUACCUCUUCUUAAGAGUUUAUAAUGACAUAGUGAUCUCUUAUGCAUCUCUUUUGAAUUUUAUUUUCUGGAGGCUUGGUUUGUUUUUGAUGAUCCUUUUCUGCCUGUCCUGUGAGAGGGGAAGGACUUUGUGUGUUUGCUCUUCUUGUGAGAGUGGAUUCCUUUUGCUUGCUGUUUCUUAUCUCCGUGAUCAAAAACCUUCUAGUCCAAGGACCAAACAUACUUUUUAUCAUUUACAGGAAAUUGGGACACAGAGAAAAACAGAGCAGAAUCUACCUAAGUUUUCAAUAGAACUACUCAAAGGGAGAAGAUACACCUUCACUCAUGGACUUCAAGGAAACUCCUGGAUUGUGGCAGUCCCACCAGACGAGAGAGAGAAUUGGGAUCUUUCCUGGUGCCUCAGAUGCUAAAGAAUGUGCCUGCAAUGCAGGAGACCCCAGUUCGAUCCCUGGGUUGAGAAGAUCCCCUGGAGAAGGGAAUGGCUACCCACUCCAACAUUCUUGCUUGGAGAAUUCCAUUAAGAGAGGAACCUGAAGAGCUACGUCCAUGGGUCUCAAGGAGUUGGACAUGACUGAAUGACUAACACACAGGAGUCCUGAAAAAUCUUAGCUUCCAGUUUGUGUCAACCUGAUACCUUGUACCUGUUGUUUUUAUGAGCCUAGAAUUCCUG
ensembl:lncRNA